rnacentral:lncRNA from 1 species
UCGGCCAAGUGAUGAAGUGACAACAGGCCCAUUCUUUCCCAUUUAACACGCCAUGUUCAUGGAUAGUGGAUACUCAGUGUAGUUGUUACGCCCUGUUUUCCACUCAUCAAAGUCGUCGUUUGUUGAAUGCAUCAUCCAGUUGAUACAGGCAGUUUCUAUUGAUCUUGGUAGAUCACUAACCCCAGUGUCAACAUGUAUUGUCAACAUGUUUUUCAACAAAUAAUGCAUUGACAGACAAGGAAAACUAUGGAAAACAUCCUCUAGCCCAUGGGCAAUCUUCAGGUUUAUUGCAGCAGCUUUAGAAUGCUUUUGCAACUUUUCAGCAACUUUUGUCACGUACAGAAACAAUUUUAAAGCAAGUGGUGCUGCCGUGUCAUGAAGAUGCCUGUUCGAGAGGGUCUCUACUAUAUUGCAAGACAGAAAUUAUGUGAUGAAAACAGGAAAUCUGAAAUGGUGUUCAUGGGGUAUUGCAGUCAUUUUCCAGUUAAGAGAUGUACUGAAAUGGAGCUUGUGCAGACUUGCAGUUCAACAUCAUACUUCAAUGUGUCAUUUGCUUCUGUUGGUGCCCAUGCAGUGUUGAACAGUUGGUUAAAAUAGUCAAUGUCCUGUCGGGCUUAUUUUAUCGGCUGCGUUUUGUCGUUAUGUCGUCGACCCUUGCUACAGGCGUUGAGUUCAAUCGUUUGCUGCCGUUCCGUUCCAUAGACUUGAUCCAUCGGUGAACUGAGGUUGCUGAAAUUCAAAACUCGUCAAGAAAUUAUGUAGAUGUAGAUAAAAUAACAAGUGCAUAUCUGGGCUCCCUUCUUUUCUGUGGCCCCGUUUCCCUAAUUAACCACUAACCAACGCCCGCC